ensembl:misc_RNA Metazoa_SRP Metazoan signal recognition particle RNA
GCUGGGCAUGGUGGUGCGUGCCUGUAAUCCCAGCUACUUGGGAGGCUGAGGCAGGAGAAUCUCUUGAAACCAGGAGAUGGAGGUUGCAGUGAGCCAAGAUUGUGCUACUGCACUCCAGCCUGGGUUACAGAGUGAGUCUCCGUCUCAC